rnacentral:rRNA from 1 species
AAAAGCCCCUACUCCUAACCGGAGGCAGCAGUGGGGAAUAUUGCACAAUGGGCGCAAGCCUGAUGCAGCCAUGCCGCGUGUAUGAAGAAGGCCUUCGGGUUGUAAAGUACUUUCAGCGGGGAGGAAGGGAGUAAAGUUAAUACCUUUGCUCAUUGACGUUACCCGCAGAAGAAGCACCGGCUAACUCCGUGCCAGCAGCCGCGGUAAUACGGAGGGUGCAAGCGUUAAUCGGAAUUACUGGGCGUAAAGCGCACGCAGGCGGUUUGUUAAGUCAGAUGUGAAAUCCCCGGGCUCAACCUGGGAACUGCAUCUGAUACUGGCAAGCUUGAGUCUCGUAGAGGGGGGUAGAAUUCCAGGUGUAGCGGUGAAAUGCGUAGAGAUCUGGAGGAAUACCGGUGGCGAAGGCGGCCCCCUGGACGAAGACUGACGCUCAGGUGCGAAAGCGUGGGGAGCAAACAGGAUUAGAAACCCAGGUAAG